AACGAACGCUGGCGGCAGGCUUAAUACAUGCAAGUCGAACGGGCGCGAGCAAUCGCGUCAGUGGCAGACGGGUGAGUAACACGUGGGAACCUUCCUCGUUGUACGGAACAACUCAGGGAAACUUGAGCUAAUACCGUAUAAGUCCGAGAGGAGAAAGAUUUAUCGCAAUGAGACGGGCCCGCGUCGGAUUAGGUAGUUGGUGAGGUAACGGCUCACCAAGCCAACGAUCCGUAGCUGAUCUGAGAGGAUGAUCAGCCACACUGGGACUGAGACACGGCCCAGACUCCUACGGGAGGCAGCAGUAGGGAAUCUUGGACAAUGGGCGCAAGCCUGAUCCAGCCAUGCCGCGUGAGUGAAGAAGGCC
rnacentral:rRNA from 1 species